CCACUAACGCUCAGGUGCUUAAGGUAGAAAAGUUCAUCUUAACAGAUUUGCUUAAACAGUCAAAGAACAAAACCACCUACUGCCUGAAUUCAUACCCUGUGCUGUGGGAUUAAAGAAAUAAAACAAUACUCAGUGAAUUUUUCUAAAUAGAAGAAUGAUCCAUCAGAGAAACUAAAGAUAAAACAUGCAUUUUUUUUAAAUAAAUUCAGACUUCAGCUUCUGAAUUUAUAAAGCAACUAAGUUCUUUUCAUUUUAGAUUGUGGAAAACUCUCCCACCUCAAAACUGGAAAAUAAUACAAAACACAAAAAAAGGACUCCAUUGCUUUGAACUAAUUAUGUAAUACAAAGAAAAAUAAUUUGAAUUCCUUAACUAGAGUUGCUACUUAUGUGACAUUCUCACAUCUAUUGUAACUAUCUCUGAGGAAAAAUGCAAGUAAGGAUGACAGAACAUCAGCAAUACAAAGGUUUUCCUUUUUUUCUUUUCUGAGAACUUUACAUUUCUACUUUCAUUGGAUGAAAAAAUCCUAGCAAUUCAUAGGCAAUACAGCAAGAAGAUUUACCUUGCGAAAACUAAAUCAGAAUGAAAGGACAUGGUACAUUGAAAAAGCAGUGACUUGUCCAAAAUACAAGUUCUUUGGAAUAAUACUGCUGAAAUACCUGAGAUCUGUUAAAUCAACCUUAAGAAACAGCAAAUGGAGCAAUGUAGAAAGAACAAUAUCAAUUCCCAUAAAAUAAAGCCACAAUUCACAAAUCA